rnacentral:rRNA from 1 species
GAUGAACGCUGGCGGCGUGCCUAAUACAUGCAAGUCGAGCGAAUGGAUUAAGAGCUUGCUCUUAUGAAGUUAGCGGCGGACGGGUGAGUAGCACGUGGGUAACCUGCCCAUAAGACUGGGAUAACUCCGGGAAACCGGGGCUAAUACCGGAUAAUAUUUUGAACUGCAUGGUUCAAAAUUGAAAGGCGGCUUCGGCUGUCACUUAUGGAUGGACCCGCGUCGCAUUAGCUAGUUGGUGAGGUAACGGCUCACCAAGGCAACGAUGCGUAGCCGACCUGAGAGGGUGAUCGGCCACACUGGGACUGAGACACGGCCCAGACUCCUACGGGAGGCAGCAGUAGGGAAUCUUCCGCAAUGGACGAAAGUCUGACGGAGCAACGCCGCGUGAGUGAUGAAGGCUUUCGGGUCGUAAAACUCUGUUGUUAGGGAAGAACAAGUGCUAGUUGAAUAAGCUGGCACCUUGACGGUACCUAACCAGAAAGCCACGGCUAACUACGUGCCAGCCGCCGGGGUAA